rnacentral:rRNA from 1 species
UACGGGGGGGGCAAGCGUUGUUCGGAAUUACUGGGCGUAAAGGGCGCGCAGGCGGCCGUGUAAGUCCGCUGUGAAAGACCGGGGCUCAACCCCGGGGUGUCAGCGGGGACUGCACGGCUGGAGUCCCGGAGAGGGAGGCGGAAUACCUGGUGUAGCGGUGGAAUGCGUAGAGAUCAGGUGGAACACCGAUGGCGAAGGCAGCCUCCUGGACUGAUACUGACGCUGAGGCGCGAAAGCGUGGGGAGCAAACAGG